rfam:Ophiophagus hannah scaffold6442.1, whole genome shotgun sequence.
AAAAAGGCCCUUUUAAGGGCUAAUCAGAUUUUCUUUAAAGAAGCUG